UAGUCCACGCCGUAAACGAUGGAUACUAGCUGUCCGGGUCCUUGAGACCUGGGCGGCCAAGCGAAAGUGAUAAGUAUCCCACCUGGGGAGUACGUUCGCAAGAAUGAAACUCAAAGGAAUCGACGGGGGCCCGCACAAGCGGUGGAGCAUGUGGUUUAAUUCGAUGAUACGCGAGGAACCUUACCAGGGCUUAAAUGUGGUCUGACAGCUUUAGAGAUAGAGUUUUCUUCGGACAGAUCACAAGGUGCUGCAUGGUUGUCGUCAGCUCGUGCCGUGAGGUGUUAGGUUAAGUCCUGCAACGAGCGCAACCCCUAUCAUUAGUUGCUAACAGGUUAUGCUGAGGACUCUAAUGAGACUGCCGGUGCAAACCGCGAGGAAGGUGGGGAUGACGUCAAAUCAUCACGGCCCUUACGUCCUGGGCUACACACGUGCUACAAUGGCAGGUACAGAGGGCAGCUACCCCGCGAGGGGAUGCGAAUCUCAGAAAGUCGUUCUUAGUUC
rnacentral:rRNA from 1 species